ACUUUAUCAUUUUUUUCCAAGAUAAAAUUGCAUUUUCUAUUCUGUCACUGAAAUGGAAAAAUCACCCAAGGGACUGGUUAGAGAAGGCUGUUUAAGAGUUUUGUUCAAAUUUGUGUUUAAAAAGCACAGACUUUUGAACAUGGUUAGCAAUGCUAGUGGCUAUCAUAUUGGACAGCAGAGCUCUAGCCCUUCUAACUCAGUAGAUGCAGUAGACGUGGUGAGGUUUUGUCCAGAUGUUCCACUGUGAUGCCCCAUCCUGUCAAGAGAGAGCCUGUUGUCUCAGCUGCUGUGAGUUCUGUCAGCAGAUAGCUUCUCACUGUUAAGAUUUUCAGGGUUUGCCUCAGUCAUCCAGUCUUCACACAAUGGCACAACGUUCUGGGGGAGGCACACUUCCAAUGACUGAUUGCAGAAACGGCCUAGAGACCGGGCCAUUGGGAC
rnacentral:lncRNA from 1 species